rnacentral:rRNA from 1 species
UACGUAGGGUGCAAGCGUUGUCCGGAAUUAUUGGGCGUAAAGAGCUCGUAGGCGGUUUGUUGCGUCGGCUGUGAAAUCCCGAGGCUCAACCUCGGGUCUGCAGUCGAUACGAGCAAACUAGAGUGUUGCAGGGGAGACUGGAAUUCCUGGUGUAGCAGUGAAAUGCGUAGAGAUCAUGAGGAAGACCAGUGGCGAAGGCGGGUCUCUGGACAGUUCCUGACACUGAGACACGAAGGCCAGGGGAGCAAACGGG